rnacentral:rRNA from 1 species
CCUACGGGAGGCAGCAGUGAGGAAUAUUGGGCAAUGGGCGCAAGCCUGACCCAGCCAUGCCGCGUGCAGGAAGAAUGCCCUAUGGGUUGUAAACUGCUUUUAUUUAGGAAUAAACCCCUUUACGUGUAGAGGGCUGAAUGUACUAAACGAAUAAGCACCGGCUAACUCCGUGCCAGCAGCCGCGGUAAUACGGAGGGUGCAAGCGUUAUCCGGAAUCAUUGGGUUUAAAGGGUCCGCAGGCGGAUGUAUAAGUCAGUGGUGAAAUCCUGCAGCUUAACUGCAGAACUGCCAUUGAUACUGUACAUCUUGAAUUCGGUCGAAGUGGGCGGAAUGUGUAGUGUAGCGGUGAAAUGCAUAGAUAUUACACAGAACACCGAUAGCGAAGGCAGCUCACUAGGCCUGGAUUGACGCUCAGGGACGAAAGCGUGGGGAUCAAACAG